GGGGGCGAUUGGAUUCGACUGGUUCUUCGCGGGGUGCUGGUUGCGUGUCGUGGUUGAUCAGCAGGCCACGUAAAAAGCUGAUCGAACAACAACUGCCACUGAAAAGCAGUUUGCACUGGCUGCCUAAAUAAGGUAGCUCCGGCCUAGGAAUCCCCGUCUGAGGAGUCUGAACGCCGGUCACAAAAUCAGACUGGCUGCAGGUCAUUGAUCGCUACGCCUGCAGUGAGACAAGUUGUGAUCUGGCUGCGUAACGCUCUGUUUGCCGUGCCGAUCGCAGUGAGACCCGAACGACAGACUACACACGUAGAUGCCGCAUGCCAGGGUUCUCAGGACGCGGGUUCGAUUCCCGCCGCCUCCAC
rnacentral:tmRNA from 1 species